UCAGGACGAAAGCCGCGGCGUGCCUAAUACAUGCACGUCGAGCGGACCGAAGGGAGCUUGCUCCUUUAGGUUAGCGGCGGACGGGUGAGUAACACGUGGGCAACCUGCCCUGCAGACUGGGAUAACUUCGGGAAACCGGAGCUAAUACCGGAUAACACCGAAAACCGCAUGGUUUUCGGUUGAAAGGCGGCUUUUAGCUGUCACUGCAGGAUGGGCCCGCGGCGCAUUAGCUAGUUGGUGAGGUAACGGCUCACCAAGGCGACGAUGCGUAGCCGACCUGAGAGGGUGACCGGCCACACUGGGACUGAGACACGGCCCAGACUCCUACGGGAGGCAGCAGUAGGGAAUCUUCCGCAAUGGACGAAAGUCUGACGGAGCAACGCCGCGUGAGCGAAGAAGGUCUUCGGAUCGUAAAGCUCUGUUGUCAGGGAAGAACAAGUACCGUUCGAACAGGGCGGUACCUUGACGGUACCUGACGAAAAGCCAGGCUAAUUA
rnacentral:rRNA from 1 species